UGUCGGCUAUGAUGAUUUAAUCACAGCUUUAAAUGCCAGUUCUGCUUCAGAAAAUUCUUGAUUGAUAGAGCUGUUUAAUAGUCUGAGCCUUCA
rfam:Morus notabilis contig10235, whole genome shotgun sequence.